rnacentral:rRNA from 1 species
UUACGGGAGGCAGCAGUGGGGAAUUUUGGACAAUGGGGGCAACCCUGAUCCAGCAAUGCCGCGUGAGUGAAGAAGGCCUUCGGGUUGUAAAGCUCUUUUGUCAGGGAAGAAACGGUGAUUUCUAAUACAGAUUGCUAAUGACGGUACCUGAAGAAUAAGCACCGGCUAACUACGUGCCAGCAGCCGCGGUAAUACGUAGGGUGCAAGCGUUAAUCGGGAUUACUGGGCGUAAAGCGUGCGCAGGCGGUUAUAUAAGACAGAGGUGAAAUCCCCGGGCUCAACCUGGGAACUGCCUUUGUGACUGUAUGGCUAGAGUGUGUCAGAGGGGGGUAGAAUUCCACGUGUAGCAGUGAAAUGCGUAGAUAUGUGGAGGAAUACCGAUGGCGAAGGCAGCCCCCUGGGAUAACACUGACGCUCAUGCACGAAAGCGUGGGGAGCAAACAGGAUUAGAUACCCUGGUAGG